rnacentral:rRNA from 1 species
GAUGAACGCUAGCUACAGGCUUAACACAUGCAAGUCGAGGGGUAACGAGAGGAAAGCUUGCUUUCCUUGUCGACGACCGGCGCACGGGUGAGUAACGCGUAUCCAACCUGCCCCCAACUAGGGAAUAACCUUGCGAAAGUAAGACUAAUACCCUAUAAUUUCCUCAGAUGACAUCUGACGAGGAAUAAAGAUUUAUCGGUUGUGGAUGGGGAUGCGUCUGAUUAGCUUGUUGGCGGGGUAACGGCCCACCAAGGCAACGAUCAGUAGGGGUUCUGAGAGGAAGGUCCCCCCCAUUGGAACUGAGACACGGUCCAAACUCCUACGGGAGGCAGCAGUGAGGAAUAUUGGUCAAUGGGCGGAAGCCUGAACCAGCCAAGUAGCGUGCAGGAUGACGGCCCUAUGGGUUGCAAACUGCUUUUAUACAGGAAUAAAGUUAGCCACGUGUGGUUAUUUGUAGGUACUGUAUGAAUAAGGACCGGCUAAUUCCGUGCCAGCAGCCGCAGUAA